rnacentral:rRNA from 1 species
GGGGAAUAUUGGACAAUGGGCGAAAGCCUGAUCCAGCAAUACCGCGUGUGUGAAGAAGGCCUGAGGGUUGUAAAGCACUUUCAAUAGGAAGGAAUACCUAUCGGCGAAUACCCGGUAGACUGACAUUACCUAUACAAGAAGCACCGGCUAACUCCGUGCCAGCAGCCGCGGUAAUACGGAGGGUGCAAGCGUUAAUCGGAAUUACUGGGCGUAAAGCGUGCGUAGGCGGUUAUUUAAGUCAGAUGUGAAAGCCCCGGGCUUAACCUGGGAACUGCAUUUGAUACUGGAUGACUAGAGUUGAGUAGAGGAGAGUGGAAUUUCAGGUGUAGCGGUGAAAUGCGUAGAGAUCUGAAGGAACACCAGUGGCGAAGGCGGCUCUCUGGACUCAAACUGACGCUGAGGUACGAAAGCGUGGGUAGCAAACA